rnacentral:piRNA from 1 species
UAUUGGUUGAAUAAAGAUGCCUGCAGCCUA